rnacentral:rRNA from 1 species
CGCAGCCGCGGUAAUUCCAGCUCCAAUAGCGGUAUAUUAAAGUUGUUGCAGUUAAAAAGCUCGUAGUUGAAUUUCGGAGUUUGUCGGUUGGUCGGGCUUCACUGUCCGCACUGGCCUGAUGGAUUCCUACCUUCUGAAUAACCAGCAUGCUAUUAAGUUAGUGCGUUGGGGAAGCAGAGCUAUUACCUUGAAAAAUUAGAGUGCUUAAAGCAGGCUUUUGCUUGAAUAGAUUAGCAUGGAAUAAUAAAAUAGGACGGCAUGGUUCUAUUUUGUUGGUUUCUAGGAUCACCGUAAUGAUUAAUAGGGAUAGUUGGGGGCAUUAGUAUUCAAUUGUCAGAGGUGAAAUUCUUGGAUUUAUUGAAGACUAACUUCUGCGAAAGCAUUUUGCCAAGGAUGUUUUUCAUUAAUCAAGAACGAAAGUUAGGGGGAUCGAAGACGAUCAGAUACCGU